ACCAUUUUAAUUGAAAACAAUCACGGUGAUUGUUACCCAGAAAUUAUUUGAUAUUGAGAUAAAAAUGCCUGCAUUAGACCUUUAAGGCCUAAUGAGAGCUUGGGUGCUCAGCAUGCAUGUGUGUAGAGAGAGCGGUCGGAUUGUAAUUUCACCUGCAGAAGCAGAUUCCAGAUGCCGCCUACGGUAGAACUUAAUUGCCCCCUAGCGGUCAUACCAUGCAAUAUGAUUUGACAUGGAAUUUUGUUAAAUGUUCUUAUCGUUUUAACGGGGACAUUUAAAAAAAAAAAAACACAUUUAUGGCAGUUUAAACGUUAAGAAAUAUUUUCCAUUUGUCACAUCCCUAAACCAUAGUAGGGCUACAAGCAGAAUGCCUGCUUUAUGACAUAUUUUCCAUCUCCGCCUAACUGCAAGUCAGAUAAAAAGCUUAUAAUGACGCAUAACUAUCUCAUGGACAGUAAGCCACUCAAAAAGAGUGAGUUUCAUCCACUUGGAUUUUCAGUUUUUUGAUUGGCCCCUUGCAGGUGACUGAAGGUGGAUGAUAUUGUAGCUGUAAAAAUGUAAUUCUGAUUGUUGGGAGUUUACUGUCAUUCAUGAGUUGCCAAGGCUGUGACGAGCAGGGAGGGGGUCCAGAUAAUGAUCACAGUUAUUUAACUUGGGCUUUGUUUGAUUGGUCGCAACCCAAUUGUUCGUAACCCAAUGCCCUAAACCUUUUGAUUGGGACGUUUGUACAGUCUAGAUUGUGAAGUCUUGCAGACUUGGCAGCUCCUUUGACUUACUAUUAUUCUGUGCUGUUAUUACCCGUCAUGCCCUGUGCUGUGUGUUGUGUUUUAUUGUGGUGCAGGGCCAGCGUAAAUGCUAUUUAUAUCCACGUCUCCCCCAGGUAUUGAAAACCCAGAGCGCUCCCCCACCCUGGUGUCUGUGCAGGCCCUGGUCCGCAUGCCCGUUCUGCCGCUGCCUGUAGGUCUGUCAGUGCCGAAAACCCAAACGGUUGGGGGUCCUACUUGAGCCCACCUGCAGGGAUGGCCCCUCAUGUUUAAAGCAGAUUGUAUACCACUUUCAGUACAUUGAAGGGAUAUUUCUUCUCUGAGCUUUGAGUCUGCUUGUUAUGAGCGGUAAUUGCCUCUACUUUAUUUUGUGUUAUAUAUUUUAAUGUUCUUAUAGGAGCAAAACAGAAAUAAAAGAGCUCACAUGUGUAGCUGAUGGAGAAUUUAUGCCUUUUCCACAAAUGUCUUCCCUACAUACACAUGCCAAUGUUCAGGCCCCUUUAAGUGUCUAACAAUUAACUGAAAUUCUGUAUUUUUAAAACUAAUCCACAAACCUUAACUAGAAUACUUUCGUUUUCAUCAGAUUUUUGUGCAGCUUUAGGCUGGAAUCCCAACUUGAUUUGUGCGCAUAACUUGACGAACACAGAUCUCAAGUUAGGAUUUGGCACGUGUAUGCUAAAUUUUGUUUCAAGCCAAAUAAGCAAAAGACAACAAAAAACAUGUAUAUUUUUGUGCUUUUUUUUUACUGACACUAACUGAUGUUUGUGAUGUUUUUCCCAACAAUGAUGUUUCCUGUGGUGGCUGAGAGCGAGACAGAGUCCAGCACCUUCUCCAGCCUGGGCUCCACUUUCAGAGAGACAAAACCUCCACAAAGCCACUUAUCAAGGUCAUUUUUGAUGGCAUGGGUAGAUACAAAAAGCAAACAACACUGGGGUGAUAGAAAAGACAAGAUGGGGAAUCACUUUCACUUACCAUUUUAUGAAAGGCAUUUAUAAUAGACACUCAUAAUAACAUACCUUAAAAGUGUGUUUCUAUACGUUUUCUCUCACAAUACUUUUAAGGCCUCCUUCCUUUUCUACACAUGACAUAUACUCUAUCUGGUUAAAAGUAUCAUUCCAAGCUGCUCAUAUACCUGACUGUGGAUGUUUGGUUAAUCAUAUUGCUCUAAACUAGUUCCAGAUUGCUACAAGCAAGGCUUCAGGUGUCUUGUCUUGUAACUGUGUUAAAGUUGAACCAAGAUACUUUUUCAUUUGUUCUCUAUAUAUUCUAGGUGCUGCCACUUUAGAGAAGAAACUCACAAGGAACCUCAUCUGGACAAAGGUUUCUGUUCUGGAGAUAGUUACUGUAUUUGUAAAGGUGGACUCAUCAAUAUGACAAUCAUACAAAGCGGGGCAAAUCUCUUCUGAGAUUGCUACUUGAGGCUUUUCCCAAUCUGGGCUAGGCUCAAGGGAGGGUGCAGAUUGGGAAGAGCCAAUGUUUUCUGUGAGCAGAAAGAAGCCCUGCUGUGUAUGAUGUAAUUUUGAUAAGUCAACCUUUAAUAAUCAUGAUGUCAUGAUCUGAUUUGCUGUUCUUUUUCAAACAUGUUAGCAGAAACUACUGUAGUUACCAUAAUGAGCCAGUAUUGGACACAUUGGGUGAUAUUUUGGACCCAUUAUAGACGUUUGAGAUUUGUUCAUGAACUCAAUGCUUUGCUUUGCAGAGCAAAGCCAAAUAGAUAGCAAUUGUAUUAGGUCAUUUAGAUUGAACAUGUGUUACAAUUUGGCUAAAUCUAUGCCAAAGUGACCAUCAACAAUAAGGUAAUACUUUUUCUUGUUAUUGAUAAAUAUGGCCAGAUUCAUAUCACGGUGUUAACGUUGCAAUUUUGUGUUUAUUUUUCAGGGUAAGUCAGAACUUAUUUUCCCUGUCUUGGUUUCAUCAGUCUCCUUUUUCUGCUUUGGUGGCCAUGUAAGACUCAAGGCCAGAGAGAUGUUCAACAAUGGGCCCUGUGGAUAUUUCUCAGAAACAUUUUAAAACAGAAAUGUAUUAAAACAUGCGUAACACUUUUGUCCGUGUACUUAACUGUAUUCGUGUAAUCCAACCCAAAUAAUUGGACACCACUUUUUCCAAUAUAUGAUAAAACAUCUAUGUAUAUUUUGUCUGCUGUUGAGAACAUAACUUGUAUUCACUUUCACGUGUGUUUUAAUACACUGCUCAAAAAAAUAAAGUGAACACUAAAAUAACACA